GCAAUCCAGGGGUGGAGACAGAUGCAUACAUGGCAGGCUGGAAAGGCAGUGCGAUUUGAGAAAAGAUGAACGCGUUGGCCAAGUACUGACCUCCCAGGCAGAAGGGGUGACCAACUUUCCCAGGGCGGAGGCUGCUUGUUCUCCUUGGCUUGUGGCCACACACUGAGACGUCUGCUUCCUUCCUCGCCCAGCUCUGAUUCCCUGCCUUCCUCCUCUGAAAUGCUUGGAUUACUCUAGGUCCACCUGGGUAAUCCUGGAUAAUCUCCCCAUCUCACGAGUCACAGGAGCAGCGAACCUACCAGAGACGAUGAACGCCUUGCCCAAGGCCACACGGCUGAAAUGGGGCUCUCAGAGGUAUGGUCUGUCUACCUCUUAAAGUCCAAAGUAGGCACAGUUUGGAUUUAUAGGGAAUCCUUUGUGUCACAGAAAGCGUCUUCCCGGGCCUCCUGUGGUCUGAGAGCCUCUCUGGCGAACCUAGUUCUGCAGCUGUUAAUCGGAACAAGGAAACCAUUUGCUUUAACUAGAGCGUUGAGAAUCUGUGAACACUAAAAAUCAACCCGAAACAUACCAAGGGCUGUGGGAAUUAAGAUAGAAGUUUAUCGAGGGCUGCCUGGGUGGCUCAGUCGGUCAAGCGUCCAACUUUGGCUCGGGUCACGAUCUCAUGGUUCGUGGGUUCAAGCCCCGCCUUGGGCUCUGUGCUGACCGCUUGGAGCCCGGAGCCCGCUUACGAUUCUUUGUGUGUCUCUCUCUCUGCCCUUCUCCUGCUUGCAAUCAGUCUCUCUGUGUCUCAAAAAAAAAAAAAAAAAAAAAAACCCAAAAGACAUUAAAAAAUAAAUUUAAAAGAUAUGUUUAUCUAUACUAGAGUCAGCCAACACGUGGGGUAAGAUAAGGCAGAGCUGGCACCAGUCCCCCAGCCUCCGCGGCCAGUGGGAUGGGCUUUCGUUGGAGGACAGAGUGGGAUGACAAAGUGGGACCUUCCUUUAGGUCCAAGGUAGGCGCUGCCAGUGGGUGACGGUGCUCUUUCCAGCCAGUCCUAGAUGCGGCCUCACAUUUCCUUUAACGCAGAGCUCCAGGACUCCAGGGUCAACCAACUGGGUUUGGGUAGAAGAUGAAGCUUGAUCCGCCAUCUUGGAAACACACAGUUUCCAAGGGGAUAAACAGAGGCUUCUUUGCCACCACCUCUCUCGCAGGUCCCAGGAGCCCGAUGUUAGGCCUUAGAUUUCAGAAUCCUAUUUAAAAGCAACAACAACAAACAACUCCCCAGCCCCCCCCUCCUCCCCCAACGCUUUUUACUCCGAGGAAGAAAUGGCCAAACUCCUCAGCCACGUUCAGAAUGGUGGCCCGAGACCUGUGGCUUCUGAUUGGCCGGGGUCAGCCGGACUCCUCCGACUUCUCACUGGGGGUCCGCGUGGGGCUGUGUGCUCUGACCUCUACCUUGGGCUUGGGGUGGGGGGCUCCUCUGGCCUGAAACCCGGAGUCCUCACUCUGUCGGAUCUCCCAGCCGAUAAAACCCAAAUCUCAUCACAGCCUGGGGUUGGCUUGGGAGGUGAGAGGCGUCCAGGGGACGUGCAUUAACGGCGUCCAACAUCCAGUGAAGGAGGAAGAGGCAAUUUCCAUAAAUCCAUCCAGAGGCUGGAUUCACCGGGCUCCGCUCCCCCUCCGGGAUAUCCUGGAUAUCCUGAGUGUUCCAGAUCUUCCUCAGAGGUUGCCUCCCUGUCUCCUCUCCCUCCUCCCCCUCCUUCUCCUUCUCUGCCCUUCCCCCUCCAUCUCUCUCUCCUCUCCCUGUCUCCUUCCCGUCCCCUCUCCCUUCUCCACUGCCUCCUCCUCUCCCUCCCCCUCCCCCCUCUUCCUCCUCCCCUGUCUCCUCUUCCUCCUGCACUUCCUCCUCCCCUCCCCGUCCUCUCCUCCCCCCUCCCAGUCCCCCUCAGUCCCCAGCAGAUGAGGAAACUAUGGCUCUGAGAGGAGAGAGGACAUGCCUCAGUCACACAGCUCACGGUAGGAGAGAAGGAUUCAGUCCAAUCCGCUCUGUCUGAUUUCAGGGCCCCUGCUCUUAACCACCAUUCCAGAGACUGACAAGGUAACUCGUUCCGGGAUCCAGGAUUUAUUCCUACUGGAAAUGUCCGUAUGGGUGGUUUUCAAACUUGAGCAAGCAUCAGUAUCCCCUGGCGCCUUUCGAACACACAGCUCACGGGGCCCAGCCUGCCGAGGUUCUGGUUCCCCAGGGCUGCAGACGGGCCUGGCUUGCAAGCUUGCGUUUCUAACAAGUUCCGCGGCAAGGCAGCAGCGGCUGGUCCAGAACCCGUACUUUGAGAACCACCGGUCUCUGUUAAUGACAGACCUUUAGGUGGUGACGUACAGGACACACAGCAUCUGUACUGCGUUGUGGGAAUAUCCUCACCUUUGGACCAGGAUGCUCUGGGGCUGCUGCUCUGCUGGUAACUUCUGGGUGACCUUGGAGGCAUCCCUUGCCUUCAAUGGGCCCAAUGUUCCCAUCUGUACAGUAAAGGCGUGGAUGAGACGCUCUAAGUCCUCUGGGCAAGACUGGCAGAGCGGGGAGGAGAGAGGUUUGGAGUCAGGCUGGGUCUGACUUCUGACUCUAGGAUGCUGUGUGACUUUGGACAGUGACUUAACCUCUCUGUGCUUCCAGUUUGUAUCUAGGGAAUGAAAGAGACGGUCGUUUCCAAGUGUCAAUCUCACCGAACUAACAGUCGAGGAUCGUAGGGAGAGGAAGGAGAGGUUCUACAGAUGGUCAGAUGGAAUUCGGCUCAAGAAGACAAUUGGACAAGUGUGAUUGGUGUAUUUAUUAUAGUCAACAAGUUGGAAAUGACCUGACCAAUCACCAAGAAAGUAUUGAUGAAAGGAGCCAGUGCAUCAAUUGAUCGAAACAAUGAACAGCUAUUGAAACAGGCGUGAGCAGGGGAGCGGCAGAGGGAGGGGGACGGAGGAUCUGAAGCGGGGCCGACGCUGACAGCAGAGAGCCCAUCGUGGGGCCGUGAGAUCAUGACCUGAUAUCACCCAGGCGCCCCGAGCAGGAUGUACAUUCAAACAACGCAGGCUCGGAACUCAGUGACAAAAGUUCUGCUGCAUCUCGGGCAGACGGCUCUCCAGAAACGGCCCAUCGAUGCCUAUGCCAACCACGUGGAAGAUUUUUGCUGGCCCUGUAACAUUUGCUAAAACUGAACAGAAAACAUUUUAACCUGUGUUCGUUUGAUACUUAAAAAAAAAACCAACAAAACCUCAUUGCUGUUUUCAUUUCCAAAAAAAAAAAAAAAAAAAAAGGAAAGAAAGGAAAAAGGGAGCUGAAGGUCAUCAAGCCUCAGCUCAGGCCAGGAAGGGCAUCCCGGUGGGCGGAGGGAGGUGGUGGCCCAGCCCGGUAGGGCAUCCGGCAGGCAGCUCAGCUCCGAGGCCCUUUGUAGGGAGCAGCCGGGCUGCCUGGGGCUUCCAUAUGCUCCUGGUUUGUGCUCGGAUGGUGGGCACCACUCCCGGCAGCGGGUCGUCCCCAGCAGGCCUCGCCACCAGCCACCAGCCACCACCCACAAGCCCGGUCCCCCGCUGGCAGGCAGGGGCAGCCUCCCCUGGCGUCCCUGCUCCCCGCAGCUGGCCGCCCCCGCCCUCGGCCAGCCCAGUUUCCUGCCCCUCCCUCUCCCUCUCUCCUCCCUCCAGCUGUUUCUCUGGCAGAGCUCUGUCCCAUUCAGGACAGCAGCCCCAGCGAGAGAGAGCGCGCCAGGAGCUCGGGACUGAAUGAGGUCUCCCGGAGGGCCUCCUGAGGGAUGACGGGGUUCCAGAGGAGGCUGUGAUCUGGGGCGGGGGGAGGGUUCCAGGAGAUCUUGAACGAACGGGCGGACGGCUUUCUGGGCUGACAGCCACAGCCAGAGAACGAGGUGAUCGAGAGAAAGAAGUCCGGCAACACGGGUCCCCUGCCCAGCGUUCAGUGCCCCGAAGUCCAGGGGGACCCUUGGGAGGACCUGGCCGGAGACCAGCCACAAGGUGAGGACACCGAGGCUCAGAGAGGGCAAGCCACUGGCUCAGGGCUGCAGAGACGAUUAGGAAACUGAGGCCUAGAGAGGGGUUCCGGCGGGAGACCUCCAUGAGAGGCACCAGCACGUCGUGGCUGUGGAGCUGGUUCUUUUGGGUGAGUUCGAGCCUGGUCUGCCCCCUGCCGGCUGAGCGACGUGGAACAAGCUCCCUGUAUGCGCCUCGUUUCCUCGUCUGUGAAAUGGGAAUAUUACAAAGAUGAAACGAGAUCACACACGUGGAGCACUUAGCAGACGGCUUGUUGUGUCCCAAGGUGCUCUGUAAACAUCACCUAUGAUUCUGUUAUCACUUCUAGGCCACCGUGCCGUCUAGACCUUUGACACCCAUGUGAGCCGAAUAGAAAUGGGUACUGAUGUCUUUACCAGUGGAGUAGCAAUGCUCAGGUUCCCGUCCGAGUACAAAAAUACUAAAAGCCCAUUUUGCUCUCUUUGAGCUACACUGCGCGAGCGUGGUUCUUACCGCCAGGAAUUACCGCUGGUUUCAGGGCUGCAAAGCAGACUCGGGGCUUCUCAAAGUACCAUCAUGGGAAUGUUGGCAUCAGAAGAAUCAUGAAUAAUAUUAUUCCUGCAGAAUAAUCAUGAGGAUUUCCUGAAGCUCCGGUUUUUCGAGUCGGAAUCUCUGAGGGUGAGGUGGGGGGGGGGGGUUCUUCCUUGCACCAGCCUCCACCCCCCCCCCCAGAUGAUUCUGACGCCUCCCAAAACUUGAGGGCCCCCGAGCUAGAGUGUGUGAACUUUUCUUUUUUGCCUUUUGUCCAGGUUUCUGGGUUGUUGAUCGCAGACACGGAGGUUCAUGUUUUUCCCUUUCUAAGCAAAUAUCUGUGUACUUCUGUGCAUUUUCAUGUCCUGUGUCAGCUGUUGAGGCCAGGAGGCAUGGCGCAGAAGAAGUGAAACUUUAUUUUGUAGCGCCGCGGAAAGUCAGAGCGAGCUAGCAAUCACCCAGCGUGUGGGCUUUGGAAUUAUUUUAAGCCACUGAACUCUCUCCCUCCAAUGAAAAUACAUGGAGGACUGCAAUCUGAAAACAGAUAACAGACGUGUUAGGCUAGCCGAAACAGAAGCGGGGGACUCGCCGGAACUCACUCUUAGAGCUUGGUGGGGCGGGUGGAAGCCGGCAAAUCUCCUCCAAACUAAGAGACCAACGUUCUUGAACAUCGUGGGAUUUGCCGCAUGGGCUUAAGACAAGGUACUCUCACCCUCUGGCCAUAAUCGUCUCAUUUGUGAUCAAGGAGGUUGAGCGUUGCACCCGUCGGGGUAGUAGCUGCUGGAAUACAUAGACGCAAGCACGUGUAAUGGCUCAAACAGAACAGACGUUUACUGUGAGGCAGGUGCUUCUGCACGGGGGCGGCCCUCUUCCGUGCACGUCCCUACGGUCCCCUUGGACAUCACCACUGAUGGAAGAAAGCAUGGACGUAGCACGUUUACUUCUUCAGUGCCUGCUGCCACACGAGAGGACUAGUCAUGUGGCCGAUCUAGUUGCAAAGGAGGCUGGAAAAUAGAGUUCUUGGCAAGGCGACUCUUUCCCGAUGUCAGCUGUAUGCUGUGCAAGGGGCGGGGGGGUGGAUUUUUGCAGACAGCUAGUUGUCUCUGCCCCAAAUAUGGUGACCUCUGGGGUCUCUUCCGCUCUCUGAUUUUAAGUCUAAAUUCUCACUCCCGUGGCGUCAACACGGUGAUGUUGCUCCACAAAUACUUUCCUGCCCUCAAGAUAAUCCCCAUCAGAUAUACUGAGUAAAUCCCCACAUUCCAGCCCAGUAAAGGCGGGUUUCCCUGGGACCCAGGCGAGAGCGAUUCUCUCUCCCUCCUGGAGAAAGCAAACGGGAAGGACAGUUGUCCUGAGCACAGCACCCUUCACUGAGCCAAAGGCUUUCAGAUCCAGUAUCUCCCUGCAUCCCCCUCACAGCCCUACCUGGAAAGGCUUCACCAUAAUCGUCCCCGUUUUAUAGACGAAGAACGAGAAGAUCAGAGAGGUAAAGGGUCUUGCCCAAGGUCACACGCAUCGGCUGGGAUUUGAACUGAGAAAACCCUAGUCCCGUCCUAGGGUCGCAGCGCACGCUGGAUGCGUGCGCGUGCGAGCACGUAUGCGUGCGUGUGCGUGCGUGCGUGUCGUUCGGGCAGGGGCUUUCCUCGGGCUGUGUUCCCCCGGGUCUGGGCAUCAGGAAGUGGGAGUACAGGAGGCGUUGUCCGUAUCCCUAGAAUGGUCCAAGCUUGCUGGUCAUGAGGCAGCCGGGUGGGUGUCCUGGCCUGGAAAGCCCGGCGUCACUAAAUGUCACGGCCACCGACCGACCAGAGAAAAGGGAAGGGGAUAGCGUGUGAGGACACAGACUGAGGCUGUGUGGGUGACACUGAGGCCUUGAUUGGGCCAGGCACACAGUGGGUGCUUGGGAACAAUUUCCCGCGUGAAUCAGCCUAGGAAGAGGUGGCAGCCAUAGAAUGGAAUUAGACCCAGACUCUGUGCUUAAGGCCCUUGGGGGAAGGGAGGCAAGCUAGUAACACGUUCUUUUAUUUGUUCCCCCAACAAACU